GACGAACGCUGGCGGCGUGCUUAACACAUGCAAGUCGAACGGAAAGGCCCUGCUUUUGUGGGGUGCUCGAGUGGCGAACGGGUGAGUAACACGUGAGUAACCUGCCCUUGUCUUUGGGAUAACUUAAGGAAACUGGGGCUAAUACCGGAUAGGAGCUCCUGCUGCAUGGUGGGGGUUGGAAAGUUUCGGCGGUUGGGGAUGGACUCGCGGCUUAUCAGUUUGUUGGUGGGGUAGUGGCUUACCAAGGCUUUGACGGGUAGCCGGCCUGAGAGGGUGACCGGCCACAUUGGGACUGAGAUACGGCCCAGUCUCCUACGGGAGGCAGCAGUGGGGAAUAUUGCACAAUGGGCGGAAGCCGGAUGCAGCAACGCCGCGUGCGGGAUGACGGCCUUCGGGGUGUAAACCGCUUUCGCCUGUGACGAAGCGUGAGUGACGGUAAUGGGUAAAGAAGCACCGGCUAACUACGUG
rnacentral:rRNA from 1 species